CUCUUCCGAUCAGACAACAUAAGGGAGGGUCCAUGGUUGCAAGGGAGUUCUCAUUUGGGAAUUUUCUUUUUGUUUCAUGUUGGCUGAUCUGGCCACAGGAAUUCAGGAAGACCAAGAAGAGGCAAAAUAUAGAUGCCAAGUUUAUAAAUUGAGAAGGGAUUCUCAAACAGCCGUGAAAAUCAUGGACCAUGCAUAGAGCUAAUAGGAAAUUAGACCAAGUUAGGGAUAAUAUGAAUUUCCAUCCUCCAUUUAGGUAAAAGAAUAUGGUAUUUGAUUUGGUUUUAUUUCCAUAUUUUCGGAUGGAGUUACUACUUUUCUUCCUAUUUUAGUCAGUACAUUUCCUGAUGAUACCAUUCCUUUAAACAAACUGCUGGUUCCUUUAUUUGGUCAUAAUUUCUCUGGCAUGCUCUAUGAUUUUGAUUCUUCAAUCUUGAUGCGUUCGUGCGUCCACUUAUCUAGGAGAAUAAAGUAGCAAGGGUCCUCAUUACUAACAUGCAGUUUAAUUGUAGCUUUAUCUACUGUUUUGGUGGAAACACGAAAGCAAGGAUUGGUAAGUAAUCUUCAAAUUGUACAGGAAGAUUGGUCUUCUCUUAUAAUGCGAUGGAAAUACUAGCUAAACUAUCUCUCCUUUGUAGGACAAUUUAAGCUGCUAAGAUGCAUAUGCCAUGUGUUACGAAAUUUAUUGGGGUCAUUUGCAUUGCAAAAGCUAGGACUGUUUGUGCAUAUAAGCAACCACGGAUAUUACUCACGUUUUUACUAGGUAUCUCUUCCAAGGCUGAUUUUCCUAUCUCGAGUUCGUCUUUCGUUUUGCUUCUCGGAUCGACCUCCCUUGAGCUUUCGGGGUUCAGUCUGUGCUCAGCUAUAUCUAUUUCUCAUGUCUUUCUGGGUGUCAGGGAUACAUAAUACAGAAGAACGCCGGCCAGAAGUGACAGCGAUCUUCAUGGCUGAUGUUCAGCAAAUUUCACGGCAGUGUGCACGGCUCCAAUGUGCUUAUAUAAUAGAGUUGUCUCUAGAAUACACACAGUUCCGGCUGACUCCGUGAUUAACUCAGGUACAGACAAACUAGCUACAUCUAGAGGUAUGAGUGUUCACAAGUUCUCUGACGAAAAGAUUGUAGUAUCCUUCCCCUAUCACAAAGAAGCACUGCGAGCCAUGAAACUAGGUGGACCAGAGACGGUCCUGCAGAUUAAUGGUUGCCCUUAACGCUUUACCAUGGGAGAUGAACUGGUUCACCUAAGAAGCAUAUUUAUUGUUCAGAGGGUACA